rnacentral:lncRNA from 1 species
UGGGGGGAAAUUUUUUUUUCUUUCAACUUUUGUUUGUGUAGGGUUAAGAGAUCAAACCCAACCCCCUUUUAUACUUAAAUACAUAUAAUUUUUUAAAGAUUUAAAAAAAGGCUUAAAACUCGAUUUGGGAGCCGAACUUGUGGCUGACCGGUCACGUCGGUGGUAAGUUGGUGCCAUCGAGCUGUCAAGCAACAUCGGCUUGACAGCCUACCAUCG